rnacentral:snoRNA from 1 species
UCCCUCUCAGGGUGGCACCUGGAGAGUUUCCAGUACUCUACCAGUCUCAGCUAUGGGAGGGAGAGUCAAGCAGAGGCAUAACCCAUUCCAUUCAUAGCUUGGCCAGUGGCUAGCGAGUGGAAGGCAAUCUGCUACAAGU